rnacentral:rRNA from 1 species
ACUCCUACGGGAGGCAGCAGUGGGGAAUAUUGCACAAUGGGCGCAAGCCUGAUGCAGCCAUGCCGCGUGUAUGAAGAAGGCCUUCGGGUUGUAAAGUACUUUCAGCAGUGAGGAAGGUGGAUAUGUUAAUAGCAUAUUCAUUUGACGUUAGCUGCAGAAGAAGCACCGGCUAACUCCGUGCCAGCAGCCGCGGUAAUACGGAGGGUGCGAGCGUUAAUCGGAAUUACUGGGCGUAAAGCGCAUGCAGGUGGUUUGUUAAGUCAGAUGUGAAAGCCCGGGGCUCAACCUCGGAAUUGCAUUUGAAACUGGCAAACUAGAGUACUGUAGAGGGGGUAGAAUUUCAGGUGUAGCGGUGAAAUGCGUAGAGAUCUGAAGGAAUACCGGUGGCGAAGGCGGCCCCCUGGAACAGAUACUGACACUCAGAUGCGAAAGCGUGGGAGCAAACAGGAUUAGAUACCCUGGUAGCUCU